AGUAACGCGUGAGGAACCUGCCUCAAAGAGGGGGACAACAGUUGGAGACGACUGCUAAUACCGCAUAAGCCCACGGCUCGGCAUCGAGCAGAGGGAAAAGGAGUGAUCCGCUUUGAGAUGGCCUCGCGUCCGAUUAGCUAGUUGGUGAGGUAACGGCCCACCAAGGCGACGAUCGGUAGCCGGACUGAGAGGUUGAACGGCCACAUUGGGACUGAGACACGGCCCAG
rnacentral:rRNA from 1 species